GUCCGUCACUCGUCCAGCUACCU
rnacentral:siRNA from 1 species